GCUGGGCUUGACAGAUGGUCUCAAUUAUCGCCGAGGUUAACAGCACAGACAAGAAAGCAGAGGCUUGGCUUCAUCAUCCUUGCCCUGCCACUUACUAUGAUAACUUUAAAGAAACUCUCCUUGCCUCAACUGCCUCCUCUGUAAAAUAGGGAUAUCAGUCAUGCAAUACUUCUGGGACUAGACACACUUUGGGACUGAGAAGAUUGAGAACCGAAUCCUGCAAUCACAUUGUCCAUUACAUUACAGGACACCCAAUAGAAACGGCAAAAAGGACUGACAUCCCCCUUUUUUUUGGAGCGAGAGUCUACUGACUUGUCAGGCUGUGAGAGGAAAUCUGCUUUACCAACACUGUCAGCCAAAGGGAUCCAGAUUUUGUAACGGGAAUUAUCCACUCCCUGAGCAGCGUCAGCUCAAGCCCGCAUUCUCUCGAAAGAGGACAGGGUUUUUUCUCAUCUGAAACCAUUCUACAUGCAUUUGCUCUCUCUACCGCUUUUAUAUAUUUAUUUAUAUGCAAAUAAACACCAAUGCCAUUUGGAAACCACCUCCAGCGC